rnacentral:rRNA from 1 species
UCCAGACUCCUACGGGAGGCAGCAGUAGGGAAUCUUUCACAAUGGGCGAAAGCCUGAUGGAGCAACGCCGCGUGCAGGAUGAAGGCCUUCGGGUUGUAAACUGCUUUUAUAAGCGAGAAAUAUGAUGGUAACUUAUGAAUAAGGAUCGGCUAACUACGUGCCAGCAGCCGCGGUAAUACGGAGGAUCGAGCGUUAUCCGGAUUUAUUGGGUUUAAAGGGUGCGUAGGCGGAAGGUUAAGUCAGCGGUCAAAUGUCGGUGCUCAACACCGGCCUGCCGUUGAAACUGGUCUUCUUGAGUGAGCGAGAAGUAUGCGGAAUGCGUGGUGUAGCGGUGAAAUGCAUAGAUAUCACGCAGAACUCCGAUUGCGAAGGCAGCAUACCGGCGCUCAACUGACGCUGAGGCACGAAAGCGUGGGGAUCGAACAGGAUUAGAUACCCGGGUA